rnacentral:tRNA from 1 species
GGUUGUGUCUCAGUGGUAGAGCACUUGUCUAGCACGUGCGAGGCCCUGAGUUCCAUCCUCAGUACCA